CUUAUUUUCUGUAAGAAAUUUAUUGCAACCAUUGCAAAUUUACAAGAAAAUGAUGGAAUUUGUUUAAACCGACUCGUUGCCGUAAACAAUCAAAAGGCGUUUUGCGUUCUUUGAACCCUACUUGUUCUUUCAAAAACCAACUUACAAUUUCUAAAAGUUUUAUUUUAGUUAAGGGAUGAAGUAAGAAUAGCCUGGGAAGAAGAAGACGAGCAUUUGCUUGACGAAUGGGUCAAGGAGACAAACGUUGAUCCGAUGAUUCCCAAAAUGAUGCAGGUAUCGAAAUUUACAUUUUCCCAAUGAGGAAUCAUUCCAUUGCUACAUGAAGUUUCUUUACGCCCGUCGCUGAAUGUAAUCACUCCUGAUGGUACCGACAUUAACGCGAUCGUGCUCGCCACAUCACCCUUUAUAGGUUUAGAAUUGGCACAAAAAUGUGUCGAGGAAGCUAUUUGCAUGAAAACGUUUAAAUAUAGACCUUUACGUAGUUUCUGUGAGAAGUUUAUCGCAACCAUUGCACAUUGUAAGGAAAUGAUGGAAUUUAUUUAAACCGACUACAGUUACCGUCCACAAUCAAAAUGAAAGCGUUUUGCGUUCUGUGUACUCUAUUUAUUCUGGUCAAUUCACAGUUAAGGGAUGAAAUAAGAAGAGCCUGGGAGGAAGAAGACGCCCCCUUCCUUGAUGAAUGCGCGAAGGAGACAAACGUUGAUCCGCAGAUUCCAAAAAAGAUGUACAAGGAUUUACAUUUUCCCAAUGAGGAAUCAUUUCAUUGCUACGUAUGGUGUCUUUACAACCGCCAGAAUGCACUCACUCCUGAUGGUAAAGACAUUGAGGUGGAAGUGCUUGCCAUGCACCCGUAUGUCGGUUUAGAAUUGGCACAACGAUGUGUCGAAGAAGCUAAAAAUGAAACAGAUAUUUGCUUGAAAACGUAUGUGGCUACUGUAUGCGCCAUUGGACAUCAUGCGUAGUGAUAAUGUGUUUUAAAAAUUGUUAGAUUGAAACUUUAAAUAAAUAUGUACCUACCCUCGA